rnacentral:rRNA from 1 species
AACGAACGCUGGCGGCAGGCCUAAAACAUGCAAGUCGAACGAUGUAGCAAUACAUCGUGGCGCACGGGUGAGUAACGCGUGGGAACGUACCUCUAGGUUAGGAACAACGUCGGGAAACUGACGCUAAUACCUGAUAAUGUCUUCGGACCAAAGAUUUAUCGCCUAGAGAUCGGCCCGCGUUAGAUUAGCUAGUUGGUGGGGUAAAAGCUUACCAAGGCGACGAUCUAUAGCUGGUCUGAGAGGAUGAUCAGCCACACUGGGACUGAGACACGGCCCAGACUUCUACGGGAGGCAGCAGUUAGGAAUAUUGGACAAUGGGGGCAACCCUGAUCCAGCCAUGCUGCGUGUGUGACGAAGGCCUUAGGGUUGUAAAGCACUUUCGUCUGCGAAGAUAAUGACAGUAACAGAAGAAGAAGCUCCGGCUAAAUUCGUGCCAGCAGCCGCGGUAA